AUGUGGGUGGAGGGGGAUCCUAGUCCUCACUGAGAUUUUUCUGCUUCCCUGCACUUUGCCUUCUUCUCUUCUCCUGCAUGGUGUGCCUUUGGUUCCCCCCAGGCUCCUGGACAGUGAUUCUGCCAGUGAUACUGAUGGUGCUGAGCCCGCUCCUGGCCUGGGCUGGAAGUAACCGAACGCUCUUCAUGGUGCAGGGCAAGUCCGAGUGUCACUUCGCCAACGGCACGGGGAACGUGCGCUUCCUGGACAGGUAUAUCUACAACCGCGAGGAGCAGGUGCGCUUCGACAGCCUUGUGGGCGAGUACCGCGCGCGGACCGAGAUGGGGCGGCCGGCGGCCGAGCGCUGGAACCGCUGGCCCGACGCCCUGCAGCGAGCCCGCGCCGCCGUGCGCACCUUCUGCGCCAGCAACUACCGGUUCUUUGCGAGCCUCACGGUGCAGAGGAGAGUGGAGCCCGCGGUGACCGUGUAUCCUGCGAAGACCCGGCCCCUGCGGCAGCACAACCUCCUGGUCUGCUCUGUGAACGGCUUCUACCCAGGCCACGUUGAGGUCAGGUGGUUCCGGAACGGCCGGGAAGAGGAGGCUGGGGUGGUCUCCACCGGCCUGAUCCCUAACGGAGACUGGACCUUCCAGAUCAUGGUGAUGCUUGAAGUAGUUCCUCAGGGUGGAGAGGUCUAUGCCUGCCACGUGGAGCACCCCAGCCUGACGAGCCCCGUCACAGUGGAAUGGAGGGCACAGGACGAAUCUUCACGAGAAAAGAUGCUGAGUGGAAUCGGGGCCUGUGUUCUGGGUCUCCUCUUCCUUGGAAUGGGGCUGCUCUUCUACGUCAGGAGGUAGAUAUACUCUUAAGUUCCCACUUCUGGGCAUACACACCGAGGAAACCAGAUCUGAAAGAGACACGUGCACCCCAAUGUUCAUCGAAGCACUCUUUAUAAUAGCCAGGACAUGGAAGCAACCUAGAUGUCCAUCAGCAGACGAAUGGAUAAGGAAGCUGUGGUACAUAUACACCAUGGAAUAUUACUCAGGCGUUAAAAAGAAUUCAUUUGAAUCAGUUCUAAUGAGAUGGAUGAAACUGGAGCCCAUUAUACAGAGUGAAGUCUCCUGAGCUGGAGCAGAGACCGUGACACUCGGACGAGAACCUUCUGUCCCAGCUUCUUCGCAGCUUGAAAAGGUUUCCUACUUCAGACCAUGGGCCCUUAUUUUAUUCCUUCUAGAGUUUUUAAUUGAAGAGAUGCCCCUCUGGUGGCUGCUGGCCUGGCAGUCUUUAUUUGUUAGUUUUAUUGAGAUAUAGUUGAUUUGCAGUGUUGCUUUCCCUUCCGCUACACGGCGCUCAUUCCUCACAACGAGAGUGCUUUCCCAGGAUCUUUGCUCUGGGUUGAAUGACUCUGCAGAAAAAGUCCUGGGUGUUUUCUUUGGCCCUACCCUGCACCCAGAAGUCCCCAGGAUUGAUCCCAGUGCCUUAUCUUCAUUCUUUCCUGGUCCUCUUUGUUUUCUACCCCUGCUGCCUCCUUCCAUCCACAUUUAUUUAUAUGUAUUUUUUGAAAUACAAGAGAGUGGAAUCUUCGUACAUGUUAAACAAGGCAUGGUGUGUGUUCAUGACAGCGUAAGUCAGUUUCAACUGCUCCCUGAUCUCAUUCCUCUAAUUAAGUUCCUUUAAGGUUGGAGAGGAACAGAAGUGGGCAAACAGGGAGGGAGCCAAAGAGCUACUUUCCAAAAGCAACAAAUCUGAGUAAGGUGAGACAUAGAAGCAGGAAAUUGCAACUCUGUAAUCAGAACAGGGUUUUCACAGUUUUCUCACAGCAUAAAGACUAAAGAGGGGAAAGGCAGAAAAAUAACUGUAGCUACUUCAACUUGGGAACAAACACAAGACCAAAGGGGCUCUUUCGAGACAACAAAAAUUAUGAAAAGGGAAGAGAAAAAGUACAGAAGUCAAAUAGGUAAAUGAAGAUAAGAUGCUAUCAGCAAGAAAAAAGACUAUUUUAUCUACGAUAUGUUUUAUACGAACUUCAUGGUAGCCACAAAACAUAAAUCUAGAGCAGAGAUAUGAAACAUUAAAAAAGAGGGAACUGAAGAAGACAUACUAUAAAGCCACCAGAUUAAAAUGGCAGAUAGACUCAGCCAUUUAAAAGAAUACAUUUGAAUCAGUUCUAAUGAGAUGGAUGAAACUGGAGCCCAUUAUAUAGAGUGAAGUAAGCCAGAAAGAUAAACACCAAUACAGUAUACUAACGCAUAUAUAUGGAAUUUUAAAAGAUGGUAAUUAUAACCCUAUAUGCAGGACAGAAAAAGAGACACAGAUGUAUAGAACAGACUUUUGGACUCUGUGGGAGAAGGCAAGGGUGGGAUGUUUCGAGAGAAUAGCAUCGAAACAUAUAUAUUACCAAGUGUGAAACAGAUCGCUAACCCAGGCUGGAUGCAUGAGACAAGUGCU